rnacentral:tRNA from 1 species
GCGCCCGUAGCUCAGUUGGAUAGAGCGAAUGCCUCCGGAGCAUUAGGUCGGGAGUUCGAAUCUCUCCGGGCGCGCCA